CUUUGUCUUUUAAAAAGGAAAAAAAAAAAGAAAAACUUUUUUCUCUCCCUUCUUCUUCUUCUUCCUCCCCCCAAUGUGAAGACCCUCUCUAUGUGCCCUAGCAGCCGUUGGCCAUCUCCUCUCCAACCAGCAUCACAUGUCUGACAGCCAUCAGUUCGUCGGUCAUUCGUCCGUGGGCCGUUGUUCGCACAGGUCAGCUCGAUCUCGUCAGCAAGUAACGAUCGUCCAGAUCUUCUUCAUCGCGUGCCAAUCUCGCCAAGCCGGUCAGAUUCGCAUCCGCAAGUUGCCGUCAAUCGUCUGGCUGCUUCAUUCGUGGGUCGUCGUGCCAUCAGCCAAGGUCUGAAGCCGAAUGACCCAGCCCAGCCGUCGAAACUUCCGCUGUGAGCCGUUCCUCCGUCCAGUCAUCUGAUCCGUGCGACCCACCGCCGAAUCCAGCUGACUGCCUCCCUCGCGCCGCGCGAUGUCGCUCACCGUUCGUAGGUGCAGUUGCGCCACUGUGAGUCACCUAGCCUCGUCAGCUGCCAGAUCUGAGAUGAAGCUCCCCCAGGCACACCGUCCAGCCUUCAAUCGCCGUCGCCGCCGCUCCAGCUUUUGACCACCGUCCAUCACCGCGCUGCCUAUGUUCUGUUGCGUGGGUCUUCGUCAGACUCUUAGAUUUUGAUUUGAGCUUGGGAAAUUAUAGCAGCGACUAUCCAGCAAAUUCAAGAUCGUUCGACAAGAGUUUUGGUUUCAAGUUGUCGUCCAUUGGGAUUUAAAAUCUGUUAGAAGGAGAUUUUUGAGUGGUUGUUGAUCAAGUACUUUGGGGUUGUUACUUCAAACCGCGGUCAUCGUUUGGUUGUCGGAGUUUAUCUGUGGAUCUUCAAUUAAGGACAAGGCGAAAGAUUGGCUGGAAUCAAUUGCAAUGGGGAGUAUAACUACAUGGGACGAGUUGGCCCAAGUCUUUCUGAACAAAUUCUUCCCUCCUGCAAAAACAAGUAAACUAAGAAUAGAUUUUUUUGCGAAAGAUUUUUAUGUGAAUCAAAACGGGAGGUGUAACUGUUCUUUGACUAAUUUUUUAUGUGAAUGUCGGUGCGGGAGAAUAUAUGUUUCAGGUGUUGUUGUGCAUGGAAUGAUGAAGCCACCUUGAAAGUUGUCUGAAAUGGAGACCUGGUCUAGCUAAAGACGAGAAACUAAGCGCUUCUUGGGAGGCAACCCAAGUUUUCUAGUUUUAAUUUAGUUUUUAUUUUAUUUGUUAUUUGAUUUUUUUAAGGAUAUAGAGCCACCUCAUGAUUAUUUUAUUUUGAUCCUCAGGUUAGAGAUGAUGCUCAAGUGUUUUCAAGCACCAGUUCGCCAUCCAGAUUCGUGAAUUCAUGCUCAUUACCCAGGCUUGUAUCACUCAUCUAUUGUGUGAUUGUUUUAGAUGUUAUGCAUUGGGGACAAUACAUCCUUUUAAGUUUGGGGUGGGAGGUGUGCUUUGUACUUGAAUCUUGUGCUUUUAUGCAUGUUGUUUUGAGUUGAUUGUUUUAUGCAUGUUAUUGUUGAUUUUGAGGAAAAAUUGAAAAAAAAUUUAACUUUUGAAAAAGAGUUGAUUUUGGUUAGGAAUAAUGUUGAGACUGAUUUAAUUGUGUUCUUUGGUAGCUUUCUUUUACUAUGAUGGUUGAUGAGUCACACGAUGUAUGCCAUGCUUUGAAGUAGAAAAUGGAUAACAUAUUCCUGUCUUGAAUGUUCUUUGUUCUGAAUCCUUCUUUGUAUCCUCUGUUAUAUUGAGCACAAACUAGAAUUUAGAACCUCUAACUAAACGAAGCAUUAAAUUAAGUCAAUUUGGUUGUCACCUCAAAAGGCCCCACUAGUUAGAGAAUGUCUUGCAUGAUGGGUUGUAAUGUUAGACUAAGAGGAAAGAAAAAAAUAUUAUUAUUGUCUUUGAAAAAAAAUAUAGAGUGUGCAUUCAUGCACUUAAAAGAAAUAUCUUUUUAUUAUUGUAAACUUGUAAAGUGUAUGCAUGGGUGGGGAUAAAAAGAGCUACCUUUGUUGUGAUUAGUUAGGACACUUGAGAAUUGAUUAGGUAUGGUUCCCUGUAGUGGAUGUGUGAAAGCUAUUGCCCCUAGGUAAAAUGAUACAAGUUUAGGGUCCUUUUGUUGUUAGAAAAAAAAAAAAAAAGAAAGAAAGAAAGAAAGAAAAAAGGAGAGAGAGAUAAGGCACCUUAGUGAACAUAUUACUUCCUUGAGUAUGUUGAUGCUUGAUGAUUGGUGCUUGAGCUAGAUUAGGGAGAAAAUUGAUGAAGCUUAAUUAAAUCUUAAGUCAGUUGUUGAGUUUUGAAUUAAAGGAGGAGUCACACACACAGAGGAUAAAAAGUUUUGCAUUUAGAAACUCCCAACGAUUAGGAUGUGUCUAAAUUUUUUUGUGGAUGAGUGUUGUAUAUGUUGAGAAGCUGAUGAAACCGGAAUAAGAGAAUGCAUGCCUUGAACCUUUUCAUUUUAGUAUUCAUUAUUUCUCCUACUUUGUGUUUCUUUCUUUUCUUUGCUUGGGACUAACAAAGUUUUACGUUUAGGGUGGUGAAAAGUAUCUAAAAAAUGUUUUUAUUACCUUCAAAUUUAGAACUAAUAUUGCUAGUCUUGUAGUUUGACGUGGUUUAUUGAGUAAUUUCAGGAAACUAAGCAUCAGGAGCAAUUUGUGCGAAAAUGAUAAAAAAGAAAAAAAAACCCUAGGGCAAAACUCCAAUUUUGAGCAAUUACGGGUUGGUUAUGAAAUUAGGAAGAAACCAAGGACCCAAGAUCAAGAAAAGAGUCAAUUUUGGAAGGCAAUUCGAGGGAGCCAAUAUUGGAAGAGUGUUGCAAUGCUGCACCCUGAUGUUGUAGACCCGAGACUAAUUGGAAACAGGGCAGCAUUGCAACGCUAUGACUUUGACAUGACGCCAACGUUGCAACAUUGGUUUGUAGCAUUGCAACACUAGAGCAUAUUAUAAAUAAUAGCGUUAAGCCACCAGGUCUGGAAAAAUAGGAGAGGAGGAAAAAGAAAUAGCCGACUUUGAUAAAUUUUACCUAAAUUCUAGUCGUACAAGAGUCGAAACAGAGGAAUUCUGAUCUUUUUGGUUGAAGACUCGAGAUUUUGAUUGAGAGUUGAUUUGAGAGCAUUUCUGGAUUGAUUGUGAUGGGAAGAUUGAUCGUGAUCAUGCAGUUUUGUUGAAGAACAAUCCGGUAUUCAUGGCGAGAGUCAAUAAGAUCGCAAUUGGGAUUCGAACCUAUUGAGGGGAGAUCGUUCUUCUUAUUAAUUUAUUUUUGGCCAUAAUGAUUGUUUUUUUGUUGAAUAUUGUUAUCGAAAUCAUGUGUGGCUAAACUCUUUUAUUCUAGGGUGUUUGUGGAUUUUAGGGAUGUUACUUUGAGUAUUUGAAUUUACAAUUGAUCAAUUUUGCAUAGAUUUCUAAAUUGUUUGUGCUUAAUGCUUUUGAUUAACUGGUCAUUAACUGAAUGAACUUAAG